rnacentral:rRNA from 1 species
ACAUGCAAGUCGAACGGUAGCACAGAGAGCUUGCUCUCGGGUGACGAGUGGCGGACGGGUGAGUAAUGUCUGGGAAACUGCCUGAUGGAGGGGGAUAACUACUGGAAACGGUAGCUAAUACCGCAUAACGUCGCAAGACCAAAGAGGGGGACCUUCGGGCCUCUUGCCAUCAGAUGUGCCCAGAUGGGAUUAGCUAGUAGGUGGGGUAACGGCUCACCUAGGCGACGAUCCCUAGCUGGUCUGAGAGGAUGACCAGCCACACUGGAACUGAGACACGGUCCAGACUCCUACGGGAGGCAGCAGUGGGGAAUAUUGCACAAUGGGCGCAAGCCUGAUGCAGCCAUGCCGCGUGUAUGAAGAAGGCCUUCGGGUUGUAAAGUACUUUCAGCGGGGAGGAAGGCGUUGAGGUUAAUAACCUUGUCGAUUGACGUUACCCGCAGAAGAAGCACCGGCUAACUCCGUGCCAGCAGCCGCGGUAAUACGGAGGGUGCAAGCGUUAAUCGGAAUUACUGGGCGUAAAGCGCACGCAGGCGGUCUGUCAAGUCGGAUGUGAAAUCCCCGGGCUCAACCUGGGAACUGCAUUCGAAACUGGCAGGCUAGAGUCUUGUAGAGGGGGGUAGAAUUCCAGGUGUAGCGGUGAAAUGCGUAGAGAUCUGGAGGAAUACCGGUGGCGAAGGCGGCCCCCUGGACAAAGACUGACGCUCAGGUGCGAAAGCGUGGGGAGCAAACAGGAUUAGAUACCCUU